rnacentral:rRNA from 1 species
CCUACGGGAGGCAGCAGUGGGGAAUUUUGGACAAUGGGCGCAAGCCUGAUCCAGCAAUGCCGCGUGAGUGAAGAAGGCCUUCGGGUUGUAAAGCUCUUUUGUCAGGGAAGAAACGGUGGGGGCUAAUAUCUCCUACUAAUGACGGUACCUGAAGAAUAAGCACCGGCUAACUACGUGCCAGCAGCCGCGGUAAUACGUAGGGUGCAAGCGUUAAUCGGAAUUACUGGGCGUAAAGCGUGCGCAGGCGGUUUUGUAAGUCUGUCGUGAAAGCCCCGGGCUCAACCUGGGAAUUGCGAUGGAGACUGCAAGGCUUGAAUCUGGCAGAGGGGGGUAGAAUUCCACGUGUAGCAGUGAAAUGCGUAGAGAUGUGGAGGAACACCGAUGGCGAAGGCAGCCCCCUGGGUCAAGAUUGACGCUCAUGCACGAAAGCGUGGGGAGCAAACAGGAUUAGAUACCCUGGUAGUCCACGCCCUAAACGAUGUCUACUAGUUGUCGGGUUUUAAUUAACUUGGUAACGCAGCUAACGCGUGAAGUAGACCGCCUGGGGAGUACGGUCGCAAGAUUAAAACUCAAAGGAUUGACGG